rnacentral:rRNA from 1 species
UACGUAGGGUGCAAGCGUUAUCCGGAAUUAUUGGGCGUAAAGAGCUCGUAGGCGGUUUGUCGCGUCUGCUGUGAAAACUGGAGGCUCAACCUCCAGCCUGCAGUGGGUACGGGCAGACUAGAGUGCGGUAGGGGAGACUGGAAUUCCUGGUGUAGCGGUGAAAUGCGCAGAUAUCAGGAGGAACACCGAAUGGCGAAGGCAGGUCUCUGGGCCGAUACUGA